AGUGAACGCUGGCGGCAGGCCUAACACAUGCAAGUCGAGCGGCAGCGGGUUCCCGCGAGGGGAUGCCGGCGAGCGGCGGACGGGUGAGGAACACAUCGGAAUCUGCCUGGUUGUGGGGGAUAACGUAGGGAAACUUACGCUAAUACCGCAUGAGACCCUGAGUCGACGGACUGGGGGGUGAAAGUGAGGGACCUUCGGGCCUCACGCGACCAGAUGAGCCGAUGUCGGANAGCUAGUUGGCGGGGUAACGGCCCGCCAAGGCGACGAUCCGUAGCUGGUCUGAGAGGAUGAUCAGCCACACUGGGACUGAGACACGGCCCAGACUCCUACGGGAGGCAGCAGUGGGGAAUCUUGGACAAUGGGCGCAAGCCUGAUCCAGCCAUG
rnacentral:rRNA from 1 species